CUUCUCCUUCUCUUGUUCUUGUUCUUCUUCUAUUCUUCUUCUUUUCUUCUUCUUUGUGGAAGAUCCAUGCAUCGCCCCUUGUUCUCUAUUUUUUCUCCCUUCCACUAACCAUCUCCCUCCCUCUCUCAUGCAUGUCGAGAACGACGCGACUUUUCGUUAACGACACGCCCGAAAUCCUCCUAUUUCUCUCCUUUAGUUGACGCCACCACCCAACACCCUUGCACCGCUGAACUCGCUGGUGAAUCUCAGCCACAACGUGCGGAAAUCAAGGCCAAGGGAGAUUUCAUGGCUAUGGGCUGAAGCUUUGAGAAAAAGAGAAUGAAAAAUGAAAUGUGAGAUUAUAAACUUUGAUGAUGUGUAGGGUCUUUUUGUUUGUCUAUGCAUUUCCCAAGUGAAUUUGAGUACUUUUGAUUUUUCUAUUAAUCUUUUGUCUAUGGUUGCUUUUGAAUUGUAUCGUAAUUGCAUGAUAAUUAUAACAUAAACAAACUAUCACUACACCAAAUGUGCCUUUUAAUACCAUCCAACCAUAGCAUUUUUAUUAACACAUUAUAAAAACUAAGAAAAAAAAAGUGAAAAAGCAAAAUAUUAAAAGCAGGAAAAUUUUCAUUUCUUUUUUUAGGGAUUGCCCGUGUUACGCUUUCCCCGAAUACUCAAUUUCAUUUUUGUUCGUCCACACCCAAAAUUCCUCUCUUCAAUUUCGUUUCCAUUUAUUCAUGCUCCACCCUCAAUUCGAUCAUCUCUUCAAUUCGAUCUCUCCCUACAUUCACUUUCGAUUUUGUUCGUUCACGCCUAUUCAAUUUCAUCUCGUUGUAGAUCUCAAAACUUCUCUUCGAUUUCAUUCACGCCCAAGGCCAGAAAUUUUCUCUCUUGUUAGUUGGUGUAUUAGAAACUAAUUUGGGUUAUUUCAAUCUUCAAAUCUAAAGGACUAACAAUAGUCUCGUUGUUCUCUCUUCAUCGUCUCUAUGUCGUUCAAACUUCUAUUUCCUGGCUUCAAUCUGGGUCUCUCUUGGUGGUGGUAUAUGGGUCUGUUGAUUUUCUUACCCUUUUUGAGGUUUUGGCUUCGUGGGUUGUUAUUGGUUUUGUUUCUUUGUGAAUAACAAUGAAUGUUUGGGGGAUUUUUUUUAAUGAGCGAUUUGUAUGGGGGUUGUGUUUUGCAAAUGAUGUCUUUCUUAUUUCAAGAACAAAAAAAGUAGCAGCUUAGCUAGCUGUGUAACAAUCUCCACAUCAGUGACAACUUUGCCCAUAUAUAUGCAAAUCCAUAUUUUUCCUCAUGGGAAAUGUCUAAUUGUUCUUCACAAGUGGAUAAAUUUUAUAUAUAUCUACUUUCCAUUUUGAUUAAUUUUCCAUUUAAGGUACAAUCUUUGUAGUUGCUUACUCUUCACAUUAACCUUUGCUGAAUUAUAUUGUUCUUUGUUUUUAAGUUCUUUAGUGAGAGGUUUCCAUGGCCAUUGUGUAGCACAAAUUGAAAAUGGUGAAAAUAAUGGCUUACAAGCUUUGGAAGAGUCUCUUUUUGUUAUGUAAUUGGAUUUGUUUCUUUGUUUAGUGUGUAUAAUGUCUAACAUUUCAAGUUUAUCUAACAAUAUAUCUCAUACCAAUCCACGUUUAAUAUAUCUCCAAUCACACAUUUUAAAUUUAAGACCUUUCAUUAUUUUAGUAUUUCAAAAGUACAUAGUAAAUCAAAAAGUGUAUUGAAAGAGAAAUUCUACUUGUACGUCUCCUCACAAUAAAUUCUACUUGUACAUCUGCUCACAAGAAAUUUUGUUGCAUUUAGUUUGAUGACUCCCUUUGGUUUUGCUAAGUUUGCAAAACCUAAAACCUAAAACUGGUAAAACAUAUACUAAAUUUUAAUCAUUCUUGUUUUGUUAUUGUUGCAACUAUCCCAUAUAAUUUCUUCCAUUUUAAGCUACAACGUUUUACUAUAAAUUAUGAUAUAUUAUUCCUUCAAAAGCACACAAACAAAUACAAAUCUUCCAAAUCAUAUAAUACUAACCCACUAGACACAUUUGAUAUGGUGAAGCCCUCAACAAAGUUUGCUCUCUUGUUCUUAAUGUUCUUCAUUAUCUCAGAAACGUUCGUGGUAGAUGCCAGAAAUGUCGUCAACAUUCCAUGCAAUAGUCGUAUUGAUUGUUCUGAUCCAUGGGACUGUGAUUGUAAGCUCAACCUAUGUUUUUGUCAUCCACAUGGAUUGGAAAAGAAAUUUCUUCACAAUGCCCUUCCUGAACAUUUGAGAGAAGAAAAGACAACGCCGCUCCUUAAAACAUAAAUUAGAAAUUAACAUAUAUGUAUUCUCCCCUCCCAAUUUAAGAUCUACAUAUAUAGCUCAUACAUGAAAAGAAAUGUACUUUUACUACAAUACACACAUAAGUAAUAUAUAUAUGACUAUUAUUCUCUACAAGAACAAUAAUA